CCUACGGGAGGCAGCAGUGAGGAAUAUUGGUCAAUGGGCGAGAGCCUGAACCAGCCAAGUCGCGUGAAGGAUGAAGGAUCUAUGGUUUGUAAACUUCUUUUAUAUGGGAAUAAAGUGAGGAACGUGUUCCUUUUUGUAUGUACCAUAUGAAUAAGCAUCGGCUAACUCCGUGCCAGCAGCAGCGGUAAUACGGAGGAUGCGAGCGUUAUCCGGAUUUAUUGGGUUUAAAGGGUGCGUAGGUGGUUAAUUAAGUCAGCGGUGAAAGUUUGGGGCUCAACCAUAAAAUUGCCGUUGAAACUGGAUGGCUUGAGUACAGUAGGGGCAGGCGGAAUGCGUGGUGUAGCGGUGAAAUGCAUAGAUA
rnacentral:rRNA from 1 species